rnacentral:misc_RNA from 1 species
GAAUGAAGAACGCAGCGAAAUGCGAUAAGUAGUGUGAAUUGCAGAAUUCAGUGAAUCAUCGAAUCUUUGAACGCACAUUGCGCCCAUUAGUAUUCUGAUGGGCAUGCCUGUUCGAGCGUCAUUUCAACCCUCAAGCCCUAGUUGCUUGGUGUUGGGAGCUUAUCCUGCCGCGAGGCGGGACAACUCCUUAAAUUUAUUGGCGGAGUCGCGGUAAUCCCAAGCGUAGUAAAUUACUUUUCCUCGCUUUAGGUGUUAACGCUGGCUUUCUAGCCGUUAAACGCCCUAAUUCUUUAGUGGUUGACCUCGGAUCAGGUAGGACUACCCGCUGAUCUUAAGCAUAUCAAUAAGCGGAGGA